GAACGGUAACAUAAAGAAGCUUGCUUCUUUGAUGACGAGUGGCGGACGGGUGAGUAAUGCUUGGGAAUCUAGCUUAUGGAGGGGGAUAACUACGGGAAACUGUAGCUAAUACCGCGUAGAAUCGAGAGAUGAAAGUGUGGGACCUUCGGGCCACAUGCCAUAGGAUGCGCCCAAGUGGGAUUAGGUAGUUGGUGAGGUAAAGGCUCACCAAGCCGACGAUCUCUAGCUGGUCUGAGAGGAUGACCAGCCACACUGGGACUGAGACACGGCCCAGACUCCUACGGGAGGCAGCAGUGGGGAAUAUUGCGCAAUGGGGGCAACCCUGACGCAGCCAUGCCGCGUGAAUGAAGAAGGCCUUCGGGUUGUAAAGUUCUUUCGGUAGCGAGGAAGGCAUUUAGUUUAAUAGACUAGGUGAUUGACGUUAACUACAGAAGAAGCACCGGCUAACUCCGUG
rnacentral:rRNA from 1 species